rnacentral:rRNA from 1 species
GAUGAACGCUGGCGGCGUGCCUAAUACAUGCAAGUCGAGCGAACAGACGAGGAGCUUGCUCCUCUGACGUUAGCGGCGGACGGGUGAGUAACACGUGGAUAACCUACCUAUAAGACUGGGAUAACUUCGGGAAACCGGAGCUAAUACCGGAUAAUAUAUUGAACCGCAUGGUUCAAUAGUGAAAGACGGUUUUGCUGUCACUUAUAGAUUGAUCCGCGCCGCAUUAGCUAGUUGGUAAGGUAACGGCUUACCAAGGCAACGAUGCGUAGCCGACCUGAGAGGGUGAUCGGCCACACUGGAACUGAGACACGGUCCAGACUCCUACGGGAGGCAGCAGUAGGGAAUCUUCCGCAAUGGGCGAAAGACUGACGGAGCAACGCCGCGUGAGUGAUGAAGGUCUUCGGAUCGUAAAACUCUGUUAUUAGGGAAGAACAAAUGUGUAAGUAACUAUGCACGUCUUGACGGUACCUAAUCAGAAAGCCACGGCUAAAUACGUG